rnacentral:rRNA from 1 species
UGGGGAAUUUUGGACAAUGGGCGAAAGCCUGAUCCAGCAAUGCCGCGUGUGUGGAGAAGGCCUUCGGGUUGUAAAGCACUUUUGUCCGGAAAGAAAUCCUUGGCUCUAAUACAGUCGGGGGAUGACGGUACCGGAAGAAUAAGCACCGGCUAACUACGUGCCAGCAGCCGCGGUAAUACGUAGGGUGCAAGCGUUAAUCGGAAUUACUGGGCGUAAAGCGUGCGCAGGCGGUUUGCUAAGACCGAUGUGAAAUCCCCGGGCUCAACCUGGGAACUGCAUUGGUGACUGGCAGGCUAGAGUAUGGCAGAGGGGGGUAGAAUUCCACGUGUAGCAGUGAAAUGCGUAGAGAUGUGGAGGAAUACCGAUGGCGAAGGCAGCCCCCUGGGCCAAUACUGACGCUCAUGCACGAAAGCGUGGGGAGCAAAC